GUGCUCACUUCAGCAGCACAUAUACUAAAAGUGGAAUGAUACAAAGAAGAUUAGCUUAGCCCCUGCACACUGAUGACAGGCAAAUUUGUGAAACAUUCCUUAUUUUU
rnacentral:snRNA from 1 species